GAGUGAACGCUGGCGGUAGGCCUAACACAUGCAAGUCGAACGGCAGCACAGUAAGAGCUUGCUCUUACGGGUGGCGAGUGGCGGACGGGUGAGGAAUACAUCGGAAUCUACUUUUUCGUGGGGGAUAACGUAGGGAAACUUACGCUAAUACCGCAUACGACCUACGGGUGAAAGCAGGGGAUCUUCGGACCUUGCGCGAUUGAAUGAGCCGAUGUCGGAUUAGCUAGUUGGCGGGGUAAAGGCCCACCAAGGCGACGAUCCGUAGCUGGUCUGAGAGGAUGAUCAGCCACACUGGAACUGAGACGCGGUCCAGACUCCUACGGGAGGCAGCAGUGGGGAAUAUUGGACAAUGGGCGCAAGCCUGAUCCAGCCAUACCGCGUGGGUGAAGAAGGCCUUCGGGUUGUAAAGCCCUUUUGUUGGGAAAGAAAAGCAGCAGGUUAAUACCCCGCUGUUCUGACGGUACCCAAAGAAUAAGCACCGGCUAACUUCGUG
rnacentral:rRNA from 1 species